AUACUAGCUUCAGCGGUACAUAUACUGAAAUUGGAACGAUAAAGAGAAGAUUAGAAUGCCCCCUGCGCAAGGAUGACACGCAACGUGUAGUUUCGUUAACUUGUUCA